rnacentral:snRNA from 1 species
AGAUACCAGGGUGAUCUGGCUGUGACAUCUGUCACCCCACUGAUCACCAGGCUUGAUCUGACUGAUGUGCUGGCAGCUAGGUCAGGGCCCCCUUCCUCCCUCACAGGUCUGUGUACAUACCUCCCAAGUUCGCUGUGCAAAAGAGGAUAAGCUUCCUGGACAGUGUCGCUGUCUUCAGUCAAGGUAUAUGAGUAGGUGGGCUCCUCCCCUGCUAGAACCACCAAACAAACCCUCAAAAUAAAAAAAAAAUUCAGAAGGAUUGGGGGCCAGGUGUGUUGGCGCACACCUAUAAUCCCAGCACUCAGGAG